GACGAACGCUGGCGGCGUGCUUAACACAUGCAAGUCGAACGGAAAGGCCCUGCUUUUGUGGGGUGCUCGAGUGGCGAACGGGUGAGUAACACGUGAGUAACCUGCCCUUGACUUUGGGAUAACUUCAGGAAACUGGGGCUACUCUCGGAUAGGAGCUCAUGCUGCAUGGUGGGGGUUGGAAAGUUUCGGCGGUUGGGGAUGGAUUCGCGGCUUAUCAGCUUGUUGGUGGGGUAGUGGCAUACCCAGGGUUUGACGGGUAGCCGGCCUGAGAGGGUGACCGGCCACAUUGGUACUGAGAUACGGCCCAGACGCCUACGUGAGGCAGCAGUGGGGAAUAUUGCACAAUGGGCGGAAGCCUGAUGCAGCAACGCCGCGUUCGUGAUGACGUCCUUCGGGUUGUAAACCGCUGUCGCCUGAGACGAAGCUGGAGUGACGGUAAUGAGUAAAGAAGCACCGGCUAACUACGUG
rnacentral:rRNA from 1 species